UCCUGGUUAACCCAGGCAGUCUCUCUAGAGUGCCCAACUUAAUGCUGGCAACUAAAGAUAAGGGUUGCGCUCGUUGCGAGACUUAACCCAACAUUUCACAACACGAGCUGACGACAGCCAUGCAGCGCCUGUCUCUACAUUCCCCGAAGGGCACCCCGCCUUUUGGGGCAGGUUCGUAGGAUUUCAAGUCUGGGUAAGGUUUUUCGCGUUGCUUCGAAUUAAACCACAUAAUCCACCGCUUGUGCGGGCCCCCGUCAAUUCCUUUGAGUUUUAGUCUUGCGACCGUACUUCCCAGGCGGAGUACUUAACGCGUUUGCUUUACCACUGCCAGGGUCAAUCCCAGCAAUAGUUAGUACUCAUCGUUUACGGCGUGGACUAC
rnacentral:misc_RNA from 1 species